ensembl:snRNA U6 U6 spliceosomal RNA
GUGCUUGCUUCAGCAGCGCAUAUAUUAAAAUUGGAAUGAUACAGAGAUUAGUGUGGCCCCUGCACAAGGAUGACAUACAAAUUCAUGAAGCAUUCCAUAUUUAA